AGGUGCACAUGCAGCUAAAAUCACUUUCACAAACAAAUGUUCCUACACUGUCUGGCCAGGAACCCUAACCGGUGACCAAAAACCUCAAUUAUCACUCACUGGGUUCGAGUUAGCAACCGGAAUUAGCCGCUCUGUGGACGCUCCGUCCCCAUGGUCCGGUCGCUUCUUUGGCCGAACCAGGUGCUCCACGGACGCAUCAGGAAAGUUCACUUGUGCCACCGCAGAUUGUGGUUCUGGCCAAGUCUCAUGCAACGGUAACGGCGCAGCUCCGCCAGCUACAUUAGUAGAAAUCACUAUUGCUUCGAACGGGGGUCAAGACUUCUACGACGUUAGUCUUGUUGACGGCUUCAACUUGCCCAUGUCCGUGGCUCCACAAGGCGGCACCGGCGACUGUAAGGCGUCAACUUGCCCUGCCGAUAUUAACAAAGUGUGCCCGGCUCCGUUACAAGUGAAGGGAUCUGAUGGAAGCGUAAUUGCGUGCAAGAGCGCUUGCUUAGCAUUCAACCAGCCAAAAUACUGUUGCACUCCACCUAACGACAAGCCGGAGACAUGCCCUCCCACUGAUUACUCUAAGCUCUUCAAGACCCAGUGCCCUCAAGCUUAUAGCUAUGCUUAUGAUGACAAGAGCAGCACCUUCACAUGCAGUGGUAGACCUGACUACCUCAUCACAUUCUGCCCAUAAGCAUAUAUAUAUAUAUAGAAUGGGAUCUUAUAUGAUAUGAUAUUAUACAUAUAGUUCCCAAUAAAUAAAUUUCCUGGAUCUUGACACAUUGUUGAUGUCAAGAAUUUGUAAUGCAGACGAUCAAAUAACGUAAAUGUUUGGAUUUUAUUUUCGUUCAUGGCUUUCAAAUUUUUGUUUCCUUCAUUUCUUUAUAUGAUGCAUUAUUUCCAGCAACAAAACAUGAGCAUAAUAUAAAGAGAGUUAGCUGCAAUUGAAAUGGUUAUCAAACGGGAGUUUAAAUACGGAUUGUAAUUUUCUGUCAUGCCUGGUGUUGAUGCGAAAAAGUGGUUUGAUACGUAAUUCGUCAACUUAGUCAAAAUGUCCCUUCGGUAGGUCCCCGUCCUUGGUAAGUGGUCCACUCCAGAGGGUCAAGUACCUGCAAAAGGACGCGUUCGGUAAAUCCUUGGGGUACCGGUGCGGUACCGGCCGAAGGCUCUCCGAUGCCUAAAUGAGUACGGAUUUAGUAAGGUUAACUGACAGAUCACACGAUAGCGUACCGUUAGUUCUUCUUCUUCCCUUUUGGGGAUAUGGGUCUCCUUAUAUAGACCUUGGGAGGUGUGCUUUGUGCUCAUUUUUCCGAUGUGGGACUCCAAGCAUGGAUUGUGAACAUGACACGUGUCUGUUGGUAAAAAGGGCCAAGAUAUAUAGCUUCGGUAGUGAGCAUGCCGUAGGGGCCCUGUGAUCAGAGUGGAUCCUGUCCACGUGUCCGGUGGAAAUAGGCCGUUUAAUUAGGUAUAAACAGUAGUCCCUCAAGUUCUCUUUCGAAGGUUCUUCGGAAGGGAAUUUGGUUUUCCUUGGUAGUUCGGAGGUUCUCCUGCCGUUCGGCAUGCUCAUUUGGGGGGAGGAAAGGCGCUUGAGUUGUUCCUUUCGGAAAGUAGUGUUCUGGGAAAAUCGGUCGGGGACUUGAAGGGUCGCCAAUGUUGAGAGGCGAGAGGGCAGAGAGACGCUUCGUCUUCCGUGCCUGGCGCGCAGAUAGAGGCGCCAUUUGCCGGGUGACGCGUGGCCAGCAAUAACACGCCUGUUGGUGCAUUAAUGAGCCGUUUCGUCUCCCGAGGCGUACCGUUACAGUUCUCCCUCUAUAAAUAGAGGUUGCUCUGUAUGAAAAAAUUCACUUUGCAAUUGUGAGUUUGCGCGAGAGCUCUUGAGUAGGCGAUUUUUGAAGUGUGCGAACGGCAAGCAAGGCGAUUUUCGAAGCGUGCGAACGGUAAGCUAGGCGAUUUUCGAAGCGUGCGAACGGCAAGCUAGGCGAUUUUCAUAGCACUCAAGGUAAGAUACCGUUCGGUACCCCUGAAUUUUGUUAUACUUCUGUAUAUGGCAUAGGCUCGCCGAUCGUUAAGUAGGAUCUUCCUUCGGUAGUCUAGUGGCCAUAGGUAGAGAAGUAGGUAUCUGUAGGAUAGCGCAGCACGCACCUUAGUUUUUCCCUUUUUCUUGUUUUGUAGAUGUCCGAUAGCGAGUCACCGUUCGGCGAUGAGCCCAACGCUUUCGACGGGGAGCUAUCUUCCGGCUGGGGUACGUCCAGCGAGGCCGUGAGCCUCGGCGCCGAGGGCGGGGAAGACUCCGAUGCCGAGCUAUUCGGUGAGGAGGCGGAUUCCAUUCCCACCCACGGCAUCGGUAAGGGGUUCAUGACGGGGCACCCGUUACCCCUGGUCGCGGUGUACAGGGACGGUACCCGUGUCGUGCCGUCUGAGCACCAGCCAGAGGCUUCCACCUCCGGCAAUGAUGAGUGUGUUGCCGGUCCCUCUCGGCCGAGAGUUACGAUCGUCCACCGAGAGCGGUAUAGGAUACCGGUGGGCAUACCGCAGAAGACCCUGUUCGGGGUUGAUUAUUUGGGGCCGAACAAACUUACCGAACGGGAGCUUCAAAAGAUUAGGGCCGAAUACCUCAUUCCUGACUCGGUGAAGAUGAGGGUCCCGAGCCCGGUCGAGUCCCUCAGCGACCCUGGGGAUGGUGAAGUCGUCUUCUUCACCGAUAUGCUGGUGCAGGGGGUCAGGUUGCCGUUGCAGCCUGCCGUUCAGAAGUUACUUGCCCAGAUUGGGUAUGCCCCGGGCCAAUAUAACCCCAACUUUUGGGUGGCCCUGAUGGGGGUGAUAACGGCCUUUGGGAUUGCCGGGGAGGGGGAGCCUUCCUACGAGCAAUUCUCCUACCUCUACAGCGUCACUAAGUCGAAGAGUGCCGACCAUGGUGGCUGGGUUCAGGCGAACUGCCUGAAGGCUUCCGAGCGAGGUCACUUCGUCAGCUCGGUGCCGACUUCCCAGAAGUCGUGGAGGAAUCGGCGGGUGCUACUCUCUGGCCAAUGGGAAUCGCCAUCAGGAGUACGCCCGCAGUCCCCAGUACCAACGACUUUCCAAACCGCCGGUAGGUCCCUAGUUACCGAUCGGCAGGUCCCUAGUUGCCUUUCUGUUUUCUUUUUAUAUUUGCUCACUCAUUCUUUAUUCGGACAGGCAAACUCAAGCAGCCGACUCCUACACAAGACGAGAUUCGGCAGAUCGACAGGGUGAGGCUGAAGGUCCCUGCCGCCGAGCGAGUGUACCCGCGCUUCCUUUUCACCAAUAAUCUCAUCAGAGCCGGGCUCGUCGACCCUGCCGAGAGUAAGUGUACUUGUUGCGCUUUUCUUCCUCUUCUCUUUUUUUGUGUGCUUGCCGACUGACUGAUUGUUUUUGGCCAGUGACGGACGCAAGGAGGGCUGCCGAGGCCAAGAAGAUGAACGAAUCUUCCAGGAGGCGCCUCAUGAUGGGCCUCGAGGGCAAGAAGAAAAAGAAGCAGCUCGAGGCCCCUGCCGUUCGGUCGUCGACGGACCCCGAGGAGGUGACCCUCGCUGAGCGUAUGCGGCAGUUGGGCGCUGAGCCUGUCGCAAGGCCGGCUGUCGAUCCCCAUGCGCCGAGGCAUGCCGUCGCCGAUGCCGUCGCCUCAAGGGCUGCCGGGAAGCGGCCGAUAACGGUGGAUUUGGAAACUUCUCCGGCGUCCAAGCGAAGCCGUCCGUCAGACGCUUCCAGGGCCGUCUUUGCGGCGGAGGACGAGGAUGGGCCUACCGAGGCCGUCACUCUCGCCUGCCCCUCGAAGACGGUGCAAUUCGUCAACCAUAUGAUCCUCGGUUCUCAGAUGGAGCUGCCGGAGGUUGACGAGUUGCCGAAGAAGGUUCUUCGGGAGCAGGCUGGACGCGCCUUCCGACUGCAAGCAGCAGUAAGAAUUUAUCUCCCGGUGUUGUCCUUUCAUUAUUUUUUUUUCGGUGCCAAGUGGGGCUUCAAACUAUCUUCCUCGUGUGCAGGCGUCCAUGGAGAUGUGGCUGUGUGUCAAGCGGGCCAUCUCCGCUGCCGAACGGGCAAAAAAGGACUAUGACGACGGCAGGGCUAAGGUUGCCGAGGCUGGAAAGGCUAUCCAGGACCACGCCCAGCUGCUAAAGGAGAAAGAGGCUGCCGAACGGCGGGCUCUCACUUCGGAGGCGACGGUGGGCGAGAUGCGGGCCGAUCUGGAGGCAGCGCGGGCGGCUCUGGAGGCAGCGCGGAUGGCAGCGCGUGAUGCCGAGGCCGUCUCGGAGGCGGUUCAGGACGCUCUGCAGGAGUCCGAGCGGACCAAGGCUGCGGAGGUUGAGGCUGCCAUUCAAACGGCAAUCCAGGGAUACCGUUCUUCCGAGGAGUUCACUGUCCUCCUGGACAGGGAAGUUGGCUCCGAGAUGGCGGGUAUGUUGUACCGAUUCAAGCGGUACAACCCUGGUCAGAAGCUGAACCUCAACUUCGCUGCCGAUCCCCCUCCCCUUCCCGAGGGAAUAACUGAGGAGAUGAUCGAAGACUACGAGGGGGAGGAUGCUGCUGCUGACGAAGCCUGAGGGCCUCUGUAAUAGUUUUAGCCUGUCUUAUUUUUAUUGUUAUUUUGUAUCUGUACCGAACGCCUUGAUGCCGAGGGCAUCUUUAAAUUAGAUGUGCAUAUUUUGUCUAUUUUUGUCUUUUCGAUUUGAUUUUGUUUUAUCGCCGAUAGGAUUUAUAACGUUAUAGAAGUAGCUUUCGAAAUUGUCAAGUUUCGAUGGAAUCUGUAGGGUGACAAUUUCGAAAAUACCUCCUGCCGUAGGUUAGUAAAGAUGCCCCAGAACGUUAUCUUGCUUAUAUUGGCAGCCGUAGGCUAGUAGAGACUGUAACAAGAGUUUCUGAAGCAAUAGUGCCGAAGGCUUUCUAUUUAUCUUUGCCGAAAGGCAUUUACAAUUUUGUCCUACCGUAGGCUAGGUUGCAACUCUGUCCUGCCGUAGGCUAGGUUACUUGAAAUAGUACUUGAGAUGUUCCACGUUCCAAGGAUGACCGAGGGUCUUGCCGUUGGAGUCUCUUAGGCGGUAGGUUCCCGAUCGAAGGAUACCGAUGAUCUCGUAAGGUCCUUCCCAGGAAGGUCCGAGGGUUCCUUCCGUGGCAUCCUUAGUUGCUAGGGACACCUUCCUCAUGACCUAAUCACCGGCUCGGAAUGAACGGUGUCUGAUUCUGGAGUCGUAAUACCGAGAGACGCGUUGCUUGUAGGCUUCGUUUCGAAGGUUGGCAUGUGCUCGGUGCUCUUCCAGGAGGUCGAGGCUUAGAGAAAGUGCUGCUUCAUUUGGCUCUGGUGCGAAGGUUUCCGUUCGGUAGGAAGGUUCGCCAAUUUCUACCGGCACAACGGCUUCCGAACCGAAAGCCAAAGAGAAAGGGGUUUCUCCUGUGGACGUUCGGUAAGAGGUCCGAAUGGCCCAGAGCGCUUCGGGAAGCUUUUCUGGCCAGGCUCCUUUGGCUUUGUCCAGCUGCCGUUUUAGCAGUUUCUUGAUGAUUUUGUUUAUCGCUUCUACCUGACCGUUCGACUGGGGAUGGGCCGGUGAUGCGAAAAACAAGUUGAUCUUCAGGCGGGUGCAAAAGUGCCUGAAGAGUUCCGAAUCGAACUGCCUGCCGUUGUCGGUGAUGAUUGCGUACGGGAUACCGAAACGGCAACAAAUGUGAGUCCAGACGAAGUCCUCUACUCUUGCUGCCGUUAUGGUUGCAAGAGGUUCGGCCUCCACCCAUUUGGUGAAGUAGUCGACGGCAACCACAGCGUAUUUCACCUGGCCUUUACCUUGUGGCAUCGGACCGAUCAGGUCUAGCCCCCACUGUGCGAAAGGCCAAGGACUCACGAUCGGUGUCAAGGGUUCGGCGGGGAUAUGCUGUAUGUUGCCGAAACGCUGACAUUUAUCGCAUUUCUUCACAAGUGAAUUGGCGUCCUGGUGCAUGGUCGGCCAGAAGUAUCCCUGCCGAAAGGCUUUGUGUGCGAGUGACCGGGACCCAGAGUGAUCGCCGCAAACACCAUUGUGGAUUUCCCGGAGAACGUAGCUCCCCUGCUCUGCCGUAAGGCACUUGAGAUACGGAGUCGUGUAGCCACGUUUGUAAAGGACGUCGUUGAUGACGGUGUACCUUGCCGAUCGGUAUCUAAGCUUUCGGGCCUGGGCCUUGUCCUCUGGAAGGGUGCCGUUGGUUAGGUAUGAGUAGAUAGGGGACAUCCACGUAUCCUCGUACCGUACGGUACAUAUUUCGGAGGUUGCCGUGCUUGGUUGGGCAAGAAUUUCCACCGGCACCUUUCUUCCGAUUUUGUCAUUGAUUGCCGAGGCUAGUCGCGCUAAAGCAUCGGCAUGACUGUUUUCGCUCCUGGGGAUCUGUUUGAUCUCAUAGGCUCGGAAGCUCUGGAGCAGCUGGUGGGUGGACGAAAGGUAGGCGUUCAUGGAGGCGUCUCUGGCGGCGAAGUCCGCCGUUACCUGGUUCACAAUGAGUUGGGAGUCACUGUGUAUCUUGAUCUGUUUUGCGUUCAUGCUCUUGGCUAAACGAAGGCCGGCCAAGAGAGCCUCAUAUUCUGCUUCAUUGUUGGAGGUUCGGAAGUUGAAUCGGAGGGCGUACUCGAUCUUGAGUCCCUCCGGUGUUGUCAGAACCAACCCUGCUCCACACCCCUGUUGGUUUGCCGAGCCGUCGACAUGCAGAGUCCAUACAGGAUUUGAGGCGUCGAGCCGUUCGGCGUCUACCUCCAUCGGUGCCGCGGUUUCGGUAACUGGCUCGGGUAUUUCCUGUGUCGUUGGUGGGGUGAGCUCGGAGAUGAAAUCGGCAAUGGCCUGACCUUUUCGGCUGGCCUUGGCACGAAUUGUAUAUCGAAUUCUCCGAGUUCAAUCGCCCACUUGAUCAAUCGGCCGGAAGUCUCUGGUUUUUGGAGUACUUGCCGAAGCGGUUGGUUUGUCAGGACAUUGAUCCCGUGUGCUUGGAAGUAUGGCCGAAGUUUUCGUGCCGAGAUCACCAGGGCUAGUGCAAGCUGCUCUAAUGGGGGAUAUCGAAGUUCAGCGCUCUGGAGUGCCUUACUGACAUAGAAGAUCGGUAGCUCUGCCCUCUCCGGUUUUCGGAUUAACACCGAACUGACGGCAGUGUUAGAUACCGAGAGGUAUAGGUAAAGAAUCUCCCCAGGCAGUGGUUUUGACAGGAGAGGUGCUCUGCCCAUAUAGUCUUUUAAGUCUUGAAAUGCUUUAUCACAUUCGGCAGUCCAUAAGAUAUUCUGUUUGCCCCCUUUCAAGGCUUUAAAGAACGGUACACAUUUGUCGGUAGCCUUGGAUAUAAAGCGAGUCAGGGCAGCCACUCGUCCGGUAAGGCUUUGGAUGUCCUUUGUUGUUUUUGGCCUCUCCAUGUCGAUGAUGGCCUUUAUUUUUUCGGGGUUCGCUUCGAUACCCCUGUGACUAAUCAUGAAUCUGAGGAAUUUCCCGGAAGACACACCGAAGGCGCAUUUCAUCGGGUUUAACCUCAUUCGGUAGCCCUUCAGGAUACCGAACAUGAUAGACAGAUUGUGCAGGUGUUCUUCGGCUGUUCUGCUUUUCACCAACAUGUCGUCAACGUAAACCUCCAUGAUGCUGCCGAUGUGUUCGGCGAAGAUUCUGUUGACAAGCCUCUGAUAUGUUGCCCCCGCGUUCUUCAAGCCGAACGGCAUGACGUUGUAGCAGUACAACCCUCUGUCAGUGAUGAAGGCGGUGUGCUCGCUGUCGGGGGGGUGCAUAAAAAUCUGGUUGUACCCUGAAUAGGCGUCCAUGAAGCUGAGCAGCUCGUGUCCUGCCGUGGCGUCCACGAGCUGGUCUAUUCGGGGUAACAGAAAGCUGUCCUUCGGGCAGGCCUUGUUCAGAUCGGUGUAGUCUUGGCACAUUCUCCAGCCGCCUGUACCCUUUCGAACCAUGACUGAGUUCGCCAGCCAUACCGGGUACGUAACUUCCCUGAUGAAGCCGAUGGUUUGAAGUUUGUCAACUUCCGUCCGCAUGGCUUCGUACCGUUCGGCAUCAUACAAACGGCGCUUCUGCCUUACAGGUUUGUAGGUUGGGGAAAUGCUGAGUUUAUGGCUGAUGAUUUCAGGGUCUAUGCCGGGCAUGUCUUCGUAGGACCAUGCGAACACUUCCGAAUGGUGCCGUAAGAAGUCUAUAAACUGCGCUCGGAGGGCGGGGGUCAGUCUGGUACCGAUUUUAACCCGACGAUCGGGCUGUUCAUCGCUCAGGGUUAUCGUCUCCAGUUCUUCGACGGGUUGCGUAUAAGGAGUUGGUGACUCAUCUCUUGGGUCGUCAACUGGUCCGUUGCCGUUCGGCAUCCCCUGCACAGACAUGGUCUUGUCUGGGAUUUUGAGAGAGGUUGAUUUGAUCGCCGUGGCGUAGCAAGUCCGUGCGCUCAGCUAAUUUCCCCUGACAGAUCCUACGCCAUUUGGGGUCGGGAAUUUCAUCAACAGCAUGUGUGGGGAAAGAUGCGCCUUUACCCUGGUCAGUGCCGUUCGCCCAACAAUGACGUUGUACGCCGUCGGGCAGUCAACGAUGAGGAACUUGUCAUAUACCGUCGUUCUCUUUGGCGCGGUGCCGAAGGUAAUUGGGAGCGUUACGCUACCGACCGGUUGGACCAUGUCCCCGGAGAAACUUAGCAAAGGCGUCAACUGCCGGUUGACCUGGCUGUCCUGUAUUCCCAUUUCUCGGAAAGCUUCGGCGAAGAUUACGUUUACCGAGCUCCCUGUAUCAAUCAGUACUCUCCCUACAUCGUAAUCGGCAAUUUCUGCUCGGACGAUCAUUGGGUCGUCGUGGGGACAGAGAAUGCCCUGUUCCUCUUCUUUGCAAAACGUGAUCGGCUCCCAAUGAUCCUUCGGUGUUUCAUGGUGGCGAUUCACCUCUAUGCCGAACACCUGGGGAAACUGUGCGGCACGCACGUACUGCUUCAUCGAGCGAUUGCUCAGUCCUGCGAUGGUUGGGCCGCCGCUGAUAGUGCUUAUCAUGUUUAUCUGCCGAUUUGCGUUCGGCUCCGGCGCCGUUGGCUGCCGGGCGAUAUACUGGUCUAGCUUCCCCUCUCGGAUCAAGCGUUCGACGAUCUUCCUCAGGCUUAUGCAGUCUUCUGUAUUAUGGCUGUUGUGCUGAUGGUAUCGGCAGAAUUUACCGGUAUCCCGGUUGUCUUGCCGAUUGGGCCUUCGUUGAUUCGGCUUGGGUAUUUUUUCCUGUUCGUUCAUCAGGACGGCCUCGUAGGUAGUAUUCAACAGGGUGAAGACCUCAUUGCCAUGAUCCCGAUUCGGCAGGGGGGCUCGGUUGUCGUUGCGACUGUACCUCCCUUUUUCUUUCUUUGGGUGCUCCCUUCGAUCUGCACGAUCAUCCUUCCUCUUAUGACCUGCCGAGUAGGUGUCGACUCGCUCAUAAGGCGUUGCCCUUGCCGGAUAGGCACUUGGUUCCGCAUUUCCUUGCGGUGCCGAAACCGUGGGUUUCGAGUUGAAGUAUUCGGCCUUGGCGUGGAUUGCUGCCUGCUUCAUCAGUUCAUCGUACGUGCGCCAGUUGCUACUGUGCACCAGGUAUCGAAAAUGAGAGGACCGAAGGCCACUCUUGAAGGCGCCGUAGGCUGCCCUAUCAUCCGUUUCCGGACACCUUGAGUACUCGUGACUGAAACGCGCCGCGUAUUCUCUCAACGGUUCGUCCUCCCUUUGCCGAAUCGUGUACAGAUCAUCGGCGGAGUAGAGACGGUCCGUUUGGAUUAUGAAGUGAUUGAGGAAGAUCUGCUUCAGCUCAUCAAAGGAUGCUACCGUUUCCGGCUCUAAACGGUAGAACCAGUUCAAGGCUGCCCCGGUAAGGGAAGACGGGAAUAGCAGGCACUGCCCCUCAUCGCUCAAGCCCUUGCAUCCAAUAGCGGACUGGAAUGAAUGGAGGUGUGUCAAAGGGUCCUCCGUUCCUGUGUAGAACGUUAUACGCAGUUGCUGCACUUCCCUGUCUUGCCGAGAAUCCCGGAUGCGCCUUGUGAACGGUCCGGGCCGAAGCUUUCCCCAUUCCGGUUCUUGGGAGCGCGCAUUGUCGUUUUCCAUUUUCUGGACCUUCUGAAAAAGGAGUCGGAUCAUGGGGUCUCGGCUAGGGACUUCUUCGGAACCGUAAUCUUCCGAUUGUCUUUGUAGGUUUAGUGAAUUAUCCCCCGCAUACCGCGAUGGUGUUUCCGAACGGUAGUCGGGGGGAAGUGUCUUGGAAGGGAUGUACUCGGACUCCGAAGACUCGGCGGGGCCCAAUCCCCUGACCUUCCGAAUAGGCGACUUAUCCCCUAGGUUAUUCAUCCGUGAUUCCCUUAUUCGAGCGCCAAUCCUGAUCGGUGACCCCUCUCUCUCUGGCUCCCGAUCGUUAGUGCGAUGCUCCCGGUCGUUAAUCCGAUGUCGGCAAUCGGUGUAGACCUUCCUUGGGAUGUGCGGCUGAUCCCGGGGUGCCGGAACCACUAACUCUCUGGAAGGUGCGGGCGUUGCCUUCGCUACCUUCGCGCGUUUGUUCUUCCCGCGGGGGUUCUGCAAGCUCUCGGAAGAGCGAGUUGUCUGUAUGUUCUGCGGUUGCUGCUGGUGAAGCAACUGCUGGGUUUCGUCCACUUUGGACGAAAGGAAGUUGUUGUGUUCCUGAAGCCUCGCCAUGUCCUUCCGUAAGGAUGCGAUUUGGGCUGCCAUCUCGACUUCGGCAGCCGUUUGGGUAGCGGGGGCAUUUCCGAAGGGAGUGUUGGAGGUAGCGCUGGGCUAGCUCCGCUCUGCCUUCCGAACGGUACCCCCUCUUCCGCUAGGAACGUUUGUUUUGAAGUGGUCCCCAUGUGCUUAGGGGAUUGUGGGUUGAUGAUUUUUUGGUUUCCCACAGACGGCGCCAAACUGUUGAUGCGAAAAAGUGGUUUGAUACGUAAUUCGUCAACUUAGUCAAAAUGUCCCUUCGGUAGGUCCCCGUCCUUGGUAAGUGGUCCACUCCAGAGGGUCAAGUACCUGCAAAAGGACGCGUUCGGUAAAUCCUUGGGGUACCGGUGCGGUAUCGGCCGAAGGCUCUCCGAUGCCUAAAUGAGUACGGAUUUAGUAAGGUUAACUGACAGAUCACACGAUAGCGUACCGUUAGUUCUUCUUCUUCCCUUUUGGGGAUAUGGGUCUCCUUAUAUAGACCUUGGGAGGUGUGCUUUGUGCUCAUUUUUCCGAUGUGGGACUCCAGGCAUGGAUUGUGAACAUGACACGUGUCUGUUGGUAAAAAGGGCCAAGAUAUAUAGCUUCGGUAGUGAGCAUGCCGUAGGGGCCCUGUGAUCAGAGUGGAUCCUGUCCACGUGUCCGGUGGAAAUAGGCCGUUUAAUUAGGUAUAAACACCUGGUAAGGAAUAAGCAUGGCUAUUUACGAAACUAUAAUAUGAACAACACUGAGAAACACAAGUAUGGCCAUUUCAAACAGACUACAAAUAACUUCGUAUUCCAACAAUGAAUCAACAGCACCCAUGGCCAUAUACGUUUGCAGCAUCUGAAGGUAGAUCAUCUAAUUAAUGUUAGAAGGAUAAUAGUUUCUAAAGUUCUUUAUUAAAAAAAUCAAUAGACAACCACCAGAGACAAAUUUUGUUUUGGAGAAGAUGAUUAUUCUCAAUUCUUGACAGCUGCAUAAUGCUAAAAUAUGAAUAUGGUUUGAAUACUUUACUUUAGGUUAGUUGUAUUCUUCUUCAUAAAGAGGUAUAUAUGAGUUUACAAGGUGCUUUAUAAGGAAAUAGAUACAGUUAAUUACCAUGGUAUACAAAGUGACUUAGAGACAAAAACUCAGAGACCGACUUGACUUUCACCAUGCGGCUUCUGGAAGUGCAAAUGAACCAUGCACAAGACUUUUAGAGUGAGCUCUUUGGACGUGGACUUGUUAAAACAUGAAAGGUUUUGUGUUGAUUUUUCUCAAUCAUACAAUCCGUUAAUAUACAAAUUUAUGUACACGAACACUACUAAGGAAUGCAAAGACUUUAAGAUCAUACAAACUACAAGUACUUGUUGAGAGUAUUUAGUCCAUGUUUUUUUUUUAAAAAAAUGCAGACAUUCAUUUUGUAUUUUAUUUUCCGUUCAUGUUUUUUUAUGGUUUAUCAAACUCAUAUAAAUAUGAUACAUAAAGCAAAAAAUAGAGAGAGAAUAGUAAAACAUUCAAAAAAUUAAAAAUUGUUCUUACUUCAUUUUUUUUUGUUGGAAUGCAUUUAUUACACAUUGAAACUUUUCAUUAAAUAAGCAUAAUAUAGUAAAUAUAUAUAUAUAUAUAUAUAUUAGAUGGGGACCUAUUUUCUUGGGACACAACUUGACAGGACCCGAUCCAAAUUCCACUUUGGAAUCCGAGCCAUACCCUGUGUGUGUCCGACACUUGGCGAAUGUCGUUUUCCGGCGAGCUCCGGCCACGGAAACUCCGACGAAGGGUCAGAAAAUGACGGCGGUCGAGUGGUGGUUCGUUUGGUACCAACGGCGGAGAUCGGCUCCAAGCGUGGUGGCCGUGGCGACGAUGAGAAGGGAGGAAGGUCGGCUGGCGCGGGCUGAUCGGGAGGAGAGAGAGAAAAGAGAGAAAUUGAUGGGGGAAGAAAGAGAGAGAGAGAGAAACAGGUUUUAUAAAUCUAAUUUUCCAAUUUACCAUUUUCCCCCUCAUGAUAUUUUAAUCGUAUUGUCUUCAUGAAAAUUCCGAUUUGAGCUUACUUCGUGUCUAUGAACUCGUGUCGUCGUGCUCUACGGAACGGUGUAUGGGGAAUUGUCAAAUUCCUUUUCGGUCAAAAAGUCAACUUUGAGUUCAUAAGGUAGUCAAAGGGCAAAAUUGUCUUUCCGUAUAAUAAAUUACUCAUUAAAUAUGAAUUUUAGGUUUGGGUCAUUACACAACUUCUUUAUCUUUUUUUUUAGUUGGAUUCUUAAUUCUUAAAUUAAAAAAACGAAAAUAAAAAACCAAUUGGCACCAAGGUAGUAUAUAUGAAACAUCGUCAGAAAUUAAAUUUUUUUUUUUUUGAAAUGUUCAUAAAAACAAACAAACAAAAAUAUAUACAUACAUUAACAAAAAAAAUAAUUUUCAAAAUAAAUGCACAGUGCCCAAGGAAACUCCUUAUAUAAUGUAUGUCUCUUGAAAAUUGUCAACAAAUCCGCUGUAGCAAUACUUACAAAUGGAUAAUUGUAAUCCGGGUUCGAAUCCCGACAGUGGAAUUCUUUUUAAGUUAGAUGUAUGACAGGAUUCGCCCCAAAUUCCUCGGAACCCGAAAUGAAUCCUGUGAAAUUCCGACAUCACCCCGAUGCCGGGCCCACUUAUUAAAGACCAAGACUUUCUACCAAAAUUUUGGCAGAGUCUCCCCUGUAAUUUGAACAAUCCCAAAAAUUUCAACAUGCAUAAAAUACAUGUCAUAUCCCAACAAGCAGCACGCACAAUAUAAUUUCAUGCAAUUCACAAACUCGACCUUAGGCCCUCACAUGAACCGAAGCGAAACCAAACUACCAACAAAGCCCUUACGCCAAAAAUAUUGCCUUAAUAUGGUAUAACAACACCCUUAAUUCAUCUCUCUAUACGCCUGAAAUUCCAACGCUACGUAUGAGGUCUGUCUCAACGCCGAAAAAUCCUACGCCACGCGAGACCUAACAAAUCACAUAAUCUCCUCAUACGCCGAAAAUUCUAACGCCACAUAUGGGGUCUGUCAUCAUUGAUUUAGGAUAUUAUCUUGAGAGAUAUUAUCAUCAAUUAGUGAUUUAAUCCCAAUCAAAUUGUUAAUUGACUUAAUCUCUCCAUUUAAGGGAAAAAAUAUCUUCCUUCAAAAUAAGAAGAUAUUCGUUGAAAAUCUCUUCAUUUAGGUAAUUCUGAAACGUAGCAAGAAUUCCCCAAAACCUCUCUCUCUCUCUCUCUCUCUCUCUCUCUCUCUCUCUCUCUCUCUCUCUCUCUCUCUCUCUCUCUCUCUCCGCCCUAGCCGACGGCCUCUCUCACUCUUAUCUCUCACACACGGCCAAGUGCCACCACACACGGCUUUGGCCACUCGACUCUCCCCGUGAGAAAAAGCUCCGUACCAUUUUUAGCUAUUGCAACAUAUUUUCUCCUAUUGCCACAUAUUUUCUCAAAGAUCCAAUCGAACUAACUUAGGCAUCGGAGAGAUUUUGACGAACACCUACCAGGUGUGGUUUUUUACUCUUGUUUGUUUCGCAGUAACCGAGCAAGAGAGAGAAGGAAGCUCAAAAAGUGAAAGAUCCACAUGCGAAUAUUCUUCCUUGAGAAAUUUGCAUAAACAGAAGACGUGUGACAUAUUCUUGGUUCAAAAAUAUCCAUCCGAAACAAGGAAAAAAUUGUAAAACCAAACUUAAGAAAUUAUACCUCUAUUCUGGUCAGCAUGAAUGGAUAUGUCCAAACAAAUUUUAAUCCAACAAGAAAAAUCAGAGGAGAAGGUUUAGGGUUUCACAAACAGAUCUACCAAGUAAAACGAAUUAACAUAUGAUAUGGGCAAAAUAAAGAAAUGAGACCAAGAUAAAACUUCUAGAAAGGUGACAAAUUGUCCUUUGAAGUAAUUUUACGUAAGCAUAACAAUUCGAAAUAAAAGAUAAACAAACAAAAAUCCUAUGAAUGGAUGGGACGAGGAAAAUUGAAGCUGACAAUAAAGGUUACUAACUUACUUGGGAUGUAUCCAAAGAAAAAAAAAAACAUGAAGGGAAAUACUAGUUUUCCUUCCUUGUUUUACUUUUCUCCCUCAUUAAUUGUACUUGGCUUUAGCUCCAUGCAUCUUCUCCUCCUUCACGGCAGCUUGGCCCAUCAAUCACGCUAUGAAAACGGCAUUUUUCCAUUUCUUCCAGUCUGGCUACUUUGACAUUUCUUGGGUUUCAUUAUCUAAAUUAAUAUCUAGUACUUGUUUUUUUAUGUACUCGUGCCAAUAUUCAAAGUACCUGCUAUCAUAAAUAAACCUAUGUAAACAGGGACUAAACGUUUAUGGCCCGUUUCCUAGUGUUGAUGACCUAUCAUCUAAUGUUUGAGUUUAAUCCAAAUCUCUCUAGAAGUUUUUUUUUUUUCCUUUCUCUAUGAGGGUUCAAACGUGACACAUCUCGUAACUCGUCUAUAAGUUAAAGUCAAUUUCUAUUGCGCUAGAGACCCUAUUGGCCUCUAAAAGAUCUUUUAGUUACUUCUUUAUCCAAUUGAUCACUUUUUCUACUUUAAUUUUUCUGGAUUGAAUUUGAAUUUUCUGUAAUAUAUAUUUUUUUGGGAUAAUGUAAACAGGGGACUUCACUUCAUUGCAGGUCAAUGACGAUAUCUAGGAACAAUCCAUCAGUCUAGGACCAAACAUUAUGAGUCAUUUGUUAGUUUCCUCAGGGUCCUGUUUACGUGUUGCCAUGGCAGCUUAGACCCGUAAUCAAAAUCGCAAGAAAAGAUCAAAAGUUAGGCACGCUACAAGCCCUAUAUAAAGCACCCCCUGGCACCCAAGUUUAUCAUCAUCCUCCUCACCAAAUUACAAAUUAAUUAAGUUUAUCAGCAACAGCAAGCCAAUUAAGACAUUUCCAAGACGAUGAUGAAGAGCCAAGCAGCUCUCCUCGGCCUCACCACCUUGGCCAUCCUCUUCUUCUCAGGUAUAAUAUUAUACAAACUUUGUUAGUCGAUCAGAUAUCGAUCAAAAGUUUAUUUUUACAAUUGUCUCUGUAAUCUGUUUUCUUAUGAUCACGUUGAAUAUGCAGGUGCACAUGCAGCUAAAAUCACUUUCACAAACAAAUGUUCCUACACUGUCUGGCCAGGAACCCUAACCGGUGACCAAAAACCUCAAUUAUCACUCACCGGGUUCGAGUUAGCAACCGGAAUUAGCAACUCUGUGGACGCUCCGUCCCCGUGGUCCGGUCGCUUCUUUGGCCGAACCAGGUGCUCCACGGACGCGUCAGGAAAGUUCACUUGUGCCACAGCAGAUUGUGGCUCUGGCCAAGUCUCAUGCAACGGUAACGGCGCAGUUCCGCCAGCUACAUUAGUAGAAAUCACUAUUGCUGAGAACGGGGGUCAAGAUUUCUACGAUGUUAGUCUUGUUGACGGCUUCAACUUGCCCAUGUCCGUGGCUCCACAAGGCGGCACCGGAGAGUGUAAGGCCUCAACUUGCCCUGCCGAUAUUAACAAAGUGUGCCCGGCUGAGUUACAAGUGAAGGGAUCUGAUGGAAGCGUAAUUGCGUGCAAGAGCGCUUGCUUAGCAUUAAACCAGCCACAAUACUGUUGCACUCCCCCUAACGACAAGCCGGAGACAUGCCCUCCCACUGACUACUCUAAGCUCUUCAAGACCCAGUGCCCUCAAGCUUAUAGCUAUGCUUAUGAUGACAAGAGCAGCACCUUCACAUGCAGUGGUAGACCUGACUACCUCAUCACAUUCUGCCCAUAAGCAUACAUAUAUAUAUAAUGGGAUCUUAUAUGUUAUGACAUUAUACAUAUAGUUCCCAAUAACAGAGAAGAAUAAAUAAAUUUCCUGGAUCUUGACACAUUGUUGAUGUCAAGAAUUUGUAAUGCAGACGAUCAAAUAAAGGUAUAAAUGUUUGGAUUUUAUUUUCAUUCAUUUCCUUAUACGUGCAUUAUUUCCAGCAACAAAGCAUGAGAAUAAUAUAAAGAGAGUUAGCUGCAAACUGAAAUGGUUAUCAAACGGGAGUUUAAAUACGGAUUGUAAUUUUCUGUCAUGGCUGGUAAGGAAUAAGCAUGGCCAUUUACGAAACUAUAAUAUGAACAACACUGAGAAACACAAGUAUGGCCAUUUCAAACAGACUACAAAUGACUUCGUAUUCCAACAAUGAAUCAACAGCACCCAUGGCCAUAUGCGUUUGCAGCAUCUGAAGGUAGAUCAUCUAAUUAAUGUUAGAAGGAUAAUAGUUUCUAAAGUUCUUUAUUAAAAAAUCAAUAGACAACCACCAUGACUGUUUUGGGAAAUUAGAGACAAAUUUUGUCUUGGAGAAGAUGAUCACUUCUCAAUGCUUGACGGCUACAUAAUGCUAAAAUAUGAAUAUGGUUUGAAUACUUUAUUUUAGGUUAGUUGUAUUCUUCUUCAUAAAGAAGUAUAUAUAGGAGUUUGUUUUACAAGGAAAUAGAUACAGUAAAUCACCAUGGUAUACAAGGUGAUCACUUAGAGACAAAAAUUGAAAUGGUUCCCAAAGCCUUCCCUUAGCAAGCAGGUACCAUUGCAAGAAUGGUUCCAUAGUCAAUAAUGACAAGACCCGCAAGGAUGAUCUCGAAUUUAUAUGCAUGUUUUAAUUUCAUGGGCCUGUUGUUCUUCUACUACAGUAAUUAGAAUUUGUUUACAAGUGUGAAUUUUCCCAGAGCAAUUUCAGGGACCGACUUGACUUUCACCAUGCGGCCUCAGGAAGUGCAAAUGAACCCCGCACAAGACUUUUAGAGGGAGCUCUUUGGACGUGGACUUGUUAAAACAUGAAAGGUUUUUGUGUUGAUUUUUCUGAAUCAUACAAUCCGUUAAUAUACAAAUUUAUAUACACGGAGACUACUAAAGAAUGUAAAACUUUAAGAUCAUACAAACUACAAGUACUUGUUGAGAGUAUUUAGUCCAUGUUUUUUUUUUUUUAAUCCAGACAUUCAUUUUGUAUUUUAUUUUUUUUAUCGUUUAUCGAACUCAUAUAAACAUGAUAUAUAAAGCAAAAAGUAGAGAGAGAAUAGUAAAACAUUCAAAAAAGCAAAAAUUGUCCUUGCUUCAUAAUUUUAUUUCUUUGUUGGAAUGAAUUUAUUACGCAUUAAUUAAACUUUUCAUUAAAUAAGCAUAAUAUAGUAAAUUAAUAUAUAUAUAUUUUUUAAAAUGGGGACCUAUUUUCAUGAGAUACUUCUUCUUCUUCUUUUUUUUUUUUUUUGUUAGAUUCUCUUUCUUAAUUCUUAAAUUCAAAAAAUGAAAAUAAAAAACCAAUUGGCACCAAGGUAGUAUAUGUGAAACAUCGUCGGAAAUUUAAUUGUUUUUUAUUGAAAUGUUCAUAAAAACAAACUAACAAAAUAUAUACAUACAUUAGAAAAAAAAAAAUUUGUUUCAAAAUAAAUGCACAGUGCCCAAGGAAUCUCCUUAUGUAACUUAUGUCUCUUCAAAACUGUAAAAAAAAAAAUCCGCUAUAGCAAUACUCACAAGUGGAUAAUUGUAAUCCGGGUUCGAAUUCCGGCAGUAGAAUUCUUUUUAAGUUAGAUGUAAAUGUGAUCCAUUUUAUAUCAGUUAUAAUAGUUGUCGUAAUGAGCUUCUUUUUAAGUCUCUGUUUAUAUAGCAGCUUCUUCCCUAACUUGAGUAGAAUCCAAUUUGCGGCUAAGAUCACUUAAGAUGCAAGACUUUUAGUCACAAAGUAAAUAUUCCUAUUUCAGUCCUUGUCAAAACUUUGGCAAAAAAAAAAAGAAAAAUGAUUCCUAUCAAAACAUAGAGCAUCCACAAUGGGAGGGUGUAUAUGAGGGUGUAUGUUAAAUAUACAUCCCUUGUCACCGGAAUCAUCUGCAAUGGGGAGAUGAAAAGGGUUGUAAAUAUACAUCACCACCAUGGAGAUGUAAAAAAAUGUACAUUUACAUCUAUUUUUACAUCUUUUGCAAGUGGGACCCACCCGAAAAAAGAGAAGAAAAAUGAAGAAAAGUCAGCAUAAAAGGCUGGGACCCGCGGCUACAGUAAUUGCUAGAAAAAAAAAAUCACAUGUUGUUUGCUUAUUUGUGGUUUUCAUGCUCCCCCAAUGUUUUUGGAUGAUCAUAUCUUCUCCGAAUUUCAAUAUUUUUAGGGCUAUUUGUUUGAAAAAUUAAAAUUAACCUCAUACAAAAAAAAAUUAAUUUUAUAAAGUAAACACAAAAUACAAAUUUAACACAAAAACGAAUUAAGAAAAAUAAAACAAUUACACAUCUUAGAUUUACAUCUUCUCCUAUUGGAGCCAAAAACGUAUUUACAUCCCCUGGAGGUGUAAAGGGGAUGUAAAAGUGGCUUUACACCCCCGAAUUUACGCCCCUUACUGUGGAUGCUCUCAGUGCAUAUGAUGUACAGAUAAUUCACCAAAAAAAAAAAAAAAGGAAAUUAGUAUUGACAGUAUUCCACAUGGGAAGAUGGAAACGUUGUAAUAUAGUGCUUAAACUUCUCCACCUAUUGUCAAUUAUUUUUACGUUGAAUGCUGAUAUCUUAAAGAUAACGCUACUCAAUCAGGUUCUUAUUUGACUCUCAACAUUGAAAAAUGCAUUACAAACUAAAGUUCAUUUUAUCGUGGAAUAUAUAUAUUUUUUCAUGGACCCUGAAAUUUAGAAAACAAUUAAAAAGGCAAAAAAGAAAAAGAAAAAUAGGCAAUUUAGGGUCCUUUCAGUAAUGUUUUCGGAGAAUAUAUUCAGAAAAUGAAAAUGAGAAAACGAAUAUACAUUUUCAAGAUUCGAGAAUGCAUAUGGUAGACUAAGUAAAUAUUUUUCGAGAACGAAAACAGUAAAAACGUGUCUAAUACGAACAUAUGAAAAUGACAAAAAUACUGAAUUGGCAACAGUAUUAUAAAAAUUAUUUUCAACAUCAUAAAUCAAAUAUUGUGUGUAGCACAUAUCUUAUCAGACUUACUAAUAGGCCAAAAAAUUUCUUAAAAAUUGUGCAAUGGUCUAAUUAAUUAUCAUUAUCCAAUACAUGCUAGAUAACCCAAAAUGGGCUCAUGUCCUCCAAGAUAUCAUCCUACAUCAUAGAUCAAAUCUCUUAUAGUCUCACAAAUAUUUGAAAAAUAUGCAAAAUAAAAUUUAAAAUCAUGUUGUCAUGAGCACUAAAUAAAACCCCACCAUAAAUUUGCUGCGAUAUAUUGUCUCUAAUGUCGCCUAUUUGUGCAAUAUUUCCUUUUGACAUAUCUAUAUUCGGUGGUAUUGUAUUUUUUGAGUCAAUGAUCAUGUCUUCAACUUGGAACUCUUCGAUCAUCCUAUCACGACCAACUUCUUUUCUUAUAAAAUUAUGCAACACACAACAUACAAUAGGAACUCAUUGUUGCCUUCUCGGAGGAUAAUUAGGCAUCAAUUUCAAAAUUAGAAAAAGAGCUUUCAAAACACCAAAACAUCGCUCAAUUACAUUACAUAAUGAGGAGUGCCUAUAGCUCAACAAUUCCAUAGGACCUCUUGGUGUUUGUCGAGGUCCUCUAUCAUCACGCAAAUGAUAUCUCUCACCUCGAUAGGGUGCCAAGAAUUCAGGCACUUUUGAAUAUCCAACAUCCACAACAAUACCCUGUAAUUGUAAUUUAUUACUUGCAAGACACAAAUAAUGUACAUAAUAAUAUUAAUUGUAAUCUUAUGUUUAUACCUUCUUCUGGAAAAGGAAACUCUCAUUUUCUGGCCUUAUCACUGCAUCUAUGAACACCCUAGAGUCAUUUGCAGUUCCUUCCCAGCCCGUAUAAACAAAAGUGAACAUCAUGUCCAAAGAGCAAGCACACAUGGCCUUUUGAGUAAUAAGAAUCUUCCUACCAUGAUAUGAGGUUUGCUUUUGAGUUGGUGCCUAAGCAACAACAUGAGUUCCAUCAAUUGCACUAACACACUUCUGCGAUAAAUUCAUAUAUUUACAAACUAUAAAGUAAAUAUAAUUUAAAAUAUAUAAUUAUAAUAAUAAAAUAAAUAAAAUUAACAAUUGAUUUCUCACCUCAAAAUAAGGAUAAUACUUUAGGUUAUUCAAAAUUUCAGAAGGUGUUUCCUCUCGACUUUGUGGCCUUAUAAUACGUGGUGCUAAAGCACAUAAAGCUCCCAAAACACACUAAAAUUGUCUAUGAAUUGUGUCUUUAGAUCGUUGGAAAUGAUCAACAGCCAGUCACAUGCAGAUAUUAUGAGACACUAUAAAUAUGAAAAUUGCCAUUGCCUUAUAAGUACCCACAUUUCUAUCAUUCUGUGGCAAAUUUAAACUCUCAAGUGUGUAACGCAACCUUUGGAAUACAUGUUUGUACAUGUGAAACGAGUCUUAAAUCCUAUCUGCUGGAUGCCCAUUCAAACAUAUUCAUGCUCGGAUAAAACAGAAUUAUGACAUGGAGUUCUAUGUACAUAUGAUUGCCAAUAUUCAUAAAUAUGCAUACAAAUUAUCAUAUGAUGCACCAUUUCCUUCGGAUCUGAAUCACUAUCGGAGUGAUUGUCUUCAUUCCUUAUAGACAUGUCUAGUACCUUCAAGUAUUCAAAUUCAAUAAAGAAUUAUGCAUACAAAUUAAAGUCACAAAAAUCUAAAAUAUGCAUACAAAUUAAAGUCACAAACAUCAAACAGAAUAAGAAGAACAAUUCAUUAGUAUUCUCUCAACAAUAAACAUAAGUAGCAAUCCUAAAGACUAGCCAACCAAACUCUCCUCCUUUCUUCUGGCAUUAUAACAAAGAUUUUCCUCCAUUCAACAAUCACUAUCUUUUCUAGCAUCUUGUCGAUGUAUUGUUAUCAAUAUCUCCCAUUGUCUCAACAAUUCCUAUGCAUUCUUCAAUCGAAUACAUUUCCUUAGAGGUGCUAGAUGCCUCAAGCAAUGGCCACAGCAGCAAGCAACAACAGCAACAAUAGAAGCUACUCUGCCAUCUUCUGCCGCUUCCAUCUGUCUAGCCGUCAUGUCACGACGACAACCCGCAAACAAAAAGAAAAAGAAAAAGGCCACGCUAGCCGCCGCUACCAUCGAUACCGAUCAUGACAACAACUAACCGGGCCCACCUAGUUGGUACUCAUGUCGAAGAAGAAAAGAAGAAGAAAAAAAAAUCAAAUUCGAUUUACCUUGGGGUGUACGGCAACUCCUCUCUUCAACAAGCAGUACAAUUCUCCAAGAUCUCUCUCAAACUAGAAAGCAAAGAAGACAAGUUUUCAAUUUGAAGAAGAGCGAAAAGAAGCUUUGUAUUUAUAAAGAUUGGGCAUCCUAGGUCAAGAAGGAAGCACGAGUUCAUUUCCAUUAGGAGCUCAACUCAAGAAAAAGUCAAAAGCCUACUCCAAUUAGGAGCCCAAUUGGCAAAAGGAUUCCAACUCAAAGAAGAAAGCCCAAAUGCAGUUGGAAAGCCCGAAAAGUAUUUCUCACCUCCUCUACACCUCACAAGCGCCAUGCAAAAGUUGGGGGACAUUUGUGGGAGAAAAUAAUCAAGUUUCCAAUCAUAAGGUGCCACAUGGACAAGAAGAAUAUCUCCUAUGUCAAUUAAUUGAGCCCAUUUAUUUGGCUAAUUAGUUGAUCUAAAAAUAGGGAUAUUAUCUUAAAUAUGGGAUAUUAUCUUUAUUUGGGAAUAUAAUUACCAAUUAAAAGAUAAUAUCAUCAAUUUAGGAUAUUAUCUUAAUUGGGAUAUAUUAUCAUCAAUCAAUGAUUUAAUCCCAAUCAAAUUCUUAAUUGACUUAAUCUCUCCAUUUAGGGGAAAAAAUAUCUUCCUUCCAAAUAAGAAGAUAUUCUUUGAAAAUCUCUCCAUUUAGGUAAUUCCGAAACCUAGCAAGAAUUCACCAAAACCUCUCUCUCUCUCGCCGACGGCCUCUCUCACUCUUAUCUCUCUCACACGGCCAAGUGCCACCACACACGGUUCUGGCCCCCUGACUCUCCCCCGGAGAGAAAGCUCUGUACCUUUUUAGUUAUUGCCACAUAUUUUCUCAAAGAUCCAAUCGAACUAACUUAGGCAUCCGAGGGACUUUGGCCAACAACUUCCGGAUAUAGUUUUUUACUCAUGUUUGUUUCGUAGGAACGAGGAAGAGAGAGAAGAAAGCUCAAAAGGUGAAGGAUCUACAUGCGAAUACUCUUCCUUGAGAAAUUUGCAUAAACAGAAGAAGUGUGACAUAUUCUUAAUUCAAAAAUAUCCAUCCGAAACAAGGAAAAAAUUGUAAAACUAAACUUAUGAAAUUAUACCUCUAUUCUGGUCAGCAUGAAUGGAUAUGUCCAAACAAAUUUUAAUCCAAAAAGAAAAAUCAGAGGUGAAGGUUUAGGGUUUCACAAACAGAUCUACUAAGUAAAACGAAUUAACAUAUGAUAUGGGCAAAAUAAAGAAAUGAGACCAAGAUAAAACUUCUAGAAACGUGACAAAUUGUCCUUUGAAGUAAUUUUACGUAAGCAUAACAAUUCGAAAUAAAAGAUAAACAAAUAAAAAAUCCUAUGAAUGUGGAUGGGACGAGGAAAAUUGAAGCUGACAAUAAAGGUUACUUGGGAUAUAUCCAAAGAAAAAAAAAGAAGAGAAAUACUACUUUUCCUUCCUUGUUUUACUUUUCUCCCUCAUUAAUUGUACUUAGCUUUAGCUCCAUGCAUCUUCUCCUCCUUCACAGCAGCCUAGGCCAUCAAUCACGCUAUGAAAAUGGUUACGUGGCGCACGCCUGGUUGUGUAUGGACUGUUUUUCAAAAUCACGAGUGUUCUUAAUCAACGUUUUAAUUUGAUAUGGUUGGCAAUUUUCCAAUUCUCCCAGUCUUGCUACUUUGACUAAAUUAAUAUCUACUUGUUUUUUUAUGUUUGCAAGUAAUAUGUACUCGUGCCAGUAUUCAAAGUACCUGCUAUUACAAAUAAACCAAUGUAAACAGGGACUAAGCGUUUAUGGCCCGUUUCCUAGUAUUGAUGACCUAUCAUCUAAUGUUUGGGUUUAAUCCAAAUCUCUCUAGAAGUUUUUUUUAUUUUUUUUUUAUUUUUUUAUGAGGGUUCAAAUGUGACACCACUUGUCUACAAGUUAAGGUCAUUUUCUAUUGCGCUAGAGACUCUAUUGGCCUCUAAAAAAUCUUUUAGUUACUUCUUUAUUAAUGUAUACACGUGACUAGAGACCAUCUAAUAGUUAUCACAUUUUCCAUUUACAUGUGUGUCUGUGACUAAGCUAACAAUUGUAACUAUAUAUGUUUAUCCAAUUGAUCACUUUUUCUACACUUAUCUACAUGUGUGUCUGGCCUAUAUGAUGACUUUAAUUUUUCUGGAUUGAAUUUGAAUUUUCUGUAAUAUAAAUUUUUUGGGAUAAUGUGGGGACUUCAUUGCAGGUCAAUGACGUUAUCUAGGACCAAAUAUUACGAGUAAUUUAUUAGUUUCCCCAGGGUCCUGUUUACGUGUUACCAUGGCAGCUUAGACCCGUAAUCAAAAUAGCAAGAAAAGAUCAAAAGUUAGGCACGCUACAAGCCCUAUAUAAAGCACCCCCUGGCACCCAAGUUUAUCAUCAUCCUUCUCACCAAAUUACAAGUUAAUUAAGUUUAUCAGCAAGAGCAACAGCAAGCCAAUUAAGACAUUUCCAUGACGAUGAUGAAGAGCCAAGCAGCUCUCCUCGGCCUCACCACCUUGGCCAUCCUCUUCUUCUCAGGUAUAAUAUUAUACAAACUUUGUUAGGUGAUCAGAUAUCGAUCAAAAAGUUUAUUUUUACAAUUGUCUCUGUAAUCUUUAGUCUUAUGAUCAUGGUUUAAUGUACUUUGAAUAUGCAGGUGCACAUGCAGCUAAAAUCACUUUCACAAACAAAUGUUCCUACACUGUCUGGCCAGGAACCCUAACCGGUGACCAAAAACCUCAAUUAUCACUCACCGGGUUCAAGUUAGCAACCGGAAUUAGCCGCUCUGUGGACGCACCGUCCCCAUGGUCCGGUCGCUUCUUUGGCCGAACCAGGUGCUCCACGGACGCGUCAGGAAAGUUCACUUGUGCCACAGCAGAUUGUGGUUCUGGCCAAGUCUCAUGCAACGGUAACGGCGCAGCUCCGCCCGCUACAUUAGUAGAAAUCACUAUUGCUUCGAACGGGGGUCAAGACUUCUACGACGUUAGUCUUGUUGACGGCUUCAA
rnacentral:lncRNA from 1 species